GCGGCUCUGUUCUCUCUCCUCGUUGCGCGCGCAUCCUCCGCGUCCCCCCGCCCGCCUCUCGCCUGGGGCCGUGUGGGGAGCGCUGCCCCGUCGCUGCCCAGCAGCCAGCUAGUGACCUGACGCCCGAGAACCCCGCAGAGGCUGGCCGAUCUAAGUGUAAGAGUCCUGGCUUGAUCUGUUCUCCUUCAUCCUGGCCUCAGUUUCCCUACAUGUAAACUAGACUCAACAACGCAUGACGGGGACACUUGUGGGGCGCCCGGUACACUACUCUUAGGUGGUGCCUCUCGCUGCCCAGGCCUUCUUCCAGAAGCCCACCCACCCAGGUCAGCGCUCUCGGAGGGCAGGAAGCGGUGCUCCCCAGACAGUAGGGAAGGCUGCCCGCUUCACAAUGGACUGAGCUCCAGCCUGCCUCCCUUGGAGACACGGUCUCCUCUGUCGCCAGGCUAGAAUGCCAUCGCACAAUCACGGCUCACUAUAGCCUCAAGCAAUCUGGCCUCUUCAGCCUCUUGAGUAGCUGGGACUAGAGGCAUGCACCACCACACAUGGCACAUGCACUCUUACCUCACUCUGACCUUGGCUCAACCCUCACCCCGACUUUGGAGAUAAACAGAGACUCCAACAGGGAUGAGUUGGCCCCAGGUCUUCCAGCCAGCAGGGGCGCCAAGCCUCCCCGAAGCCUCCCCUGGGCCCUACCUGCGCGAUGGAAGUCGUCUUUGCUGUAGGUGAAGUCUUUCAAGAAGGUGAUGCACUCUGUUUCGUGGUUAUAGCGCCUGGCUGUCUCCAGCAGCAUGAUCUAAGGGCGGCAGCGGGAGGGGGGGCUCGAACCCUGCGACCCUUCAGCUGCUAGUCCCUUCCCUCCUGGCCCAAAUGGGGGUCUAAUCUCACCAGGAUUAUCCCUUGUCCCCUUCCCCUGUUCUCUCAGCCACACCAGCGUGCAGCCAUCACGUGAGACAGCCCGAGCUCUUUCUCCACUUCAGGCUUCCGCACAUGCUGCAUCCCCAUCUCCUUAGGAUACUCGUUCCCCAGACUCUAUUCGCCGUGGAAUGUCAUCCUACAAGGGCAAGGACUGGUCUUGCUUAACUCUACUCCCAGCAUCUGUCCUGGAGCUAUCUCUGGGGUUCCUUGGGGGCAGAUGGACGAUUACCUCGAUAGUGGAUGCCUUCAAGAGGGCGAUCUGGUCCUCCCGGCCCAGCUGCAGGAAACCAGGCACUUGCUUGGCGAAGUCCACGAUCUCCUGGACUGAGAUGAUGGCCAGCUCCGUGAAGUGGGCGAAGCGUUGCUGGCGGGCAUCUCGGGACUGGGGGUCUGCGCCCAGGGGCCAGGGCUGGGACACAGGAGACCAGAGUCACUCCCAGGUCUUUGUGAGCCUAAGUCUGGGCGGCCACCUUGAUGCCAAGCCUGCACCCUGGGGGACCCUCCUCCCAAAGCUCCUGCCCUCUGGAGCCUCAUUCUCCCACACCCUGCGUGAUGGCCCAGCCGGCUCUACCCCAUCGGGACUGUCACACUCAAGGUUGUGGAGGGGGCAGUACCGUGACUUUGGGUUGGUCGGAGAAGGAGCGUUUGUUGCACUGCAGCUGGGCUGCCACCAACUGCUGGAUCAUUAGUUCUUGAGCCGCUGUUAACUGGACACCCUCGCCUUCCCCAGAGCCCUGGCUGCCUGCCUCAGAUCCACCAGGAGACGCCCCAGGCCCAGAGGCUGAGCUGCUGCUGCCCUGCGGCCCUGCAGGUGACUGCGACUGUGACUGUGACUGCUGCUGCUGCUGUUUCCGAAUCUUCUUCUUCCGGAUCUGUUCUUCAGAGAGGACGCCUGUAGGGGGAUGCAGGCCUCAGCAGAACCCCAGGGCUGGGCGGGGGGCCAGGCCAGCACCGCCCCCUCCCACUGCACUCACACUGCUCCCUCAUCCCUGCCUCCUUGCACUUGCGCAGCCGGCACUGCUGGCACUUGCGCCGCAUGAAAGCGUCCAUCUGGCAGGUUCCGCCACCCCGGCAGGCAUAGCGCCGAGCCCCGCCACGGACCACACUGCGCCGGAAGAAGCCCUUGCAGCCUUCGCAGCUGAGCACGUUGUAGUGGAAGCCGGAGGCCUUGUCCCCGCAGACGCGGCAAAGCUCGUGGCCCAGCAUCUUCGGGGCUGGGCCCUUCUUUCGCUUGCGCUCUGGCUCCUCUUCAGGAUCUGGGAUGACUGGGGUGGGUAGGUAAAGGCCAUGAAAGAGCCACAAGAAGAAACAGGAACCAGAGGGAUGAGCCCAUAGGAGAUCCCCGGGCAAAGCGCCAGAGGAUGGAGGGAGAGAGGAGUUGCUGCUCACAUUCAGGGAAAUUGCAAUUUAGAAAGAUGUAUAUGUUAAGGAGACAGCAAGAACAAUAAGCAAAGAUCAGGGGCCUCCCA